GCCCGUCCCCUGGGACGGUGGUGCGGGGUUGGGGGCCGGGAGCUGGGUGCGGGGGGGGGGGGGGGCAGCGGGGGUGCGCCGGGUGCCCUGAGCUUUCUGGUGGGCUUUCUAACUCAAAUGCACCCGGUGAGGUUUGCCCACUGGGUGCCCCCAGCCCCUUUUGGGCUGCAAGCAUUUGGCCUGGGUGUUUCCCCAUGGCCAAGCAUCAAACUGGGGACCUCGUCUGCCCCAGUGUCUGUGGGUGGCUGGAGCCCAGGGUGUGGGGUGCUGGAGUCAAGGGUGGUGGGGUGCCGGGUGCUGGACCCUGGACGUGCCGGAGCUGCAGGGGUGUGGGGUGCCCCAGAUCCCUGGGUAUGUGGGUGCCAGACCCCUGGAUAUAUGGCUAACAGAUGGGGGGUGGGCAGGACCCCAAAACCCUGGGUGUGUGGGUGCAGAUGGAAGGGUGAGCAGGACCCCAAAACUCUGGGUACAUGGGUGCCAGACCCAGGGUGGGCAGGACCCCAGACCCCUGGGUGCAUGGCUGCUGGAUGGGGGGUGAGCAUGAGCCCAGACCCCUGGGUGCAUGGGUGCCAGGUGGGCGGUGGGCAGGACCCCAAAACCCUGGGUGCGUGGGUGCCAGAUGGGGGGGGGUGAGUAGACCCCCAGAUGCUGGGUAUAUGGGUGCCAGACCUGGGAUGGGCAGGACCUCAGACCCCCGGGUGCGUGGGUGCUGGAUGGGGGGUGAGCGGGUCCCCAAAACCCUGGGUACAUGGGUGCAGGAUGGGGGGUGAGCAGGACCCCAAAACCCUGAGUACAUGGGUGCCAGGUGGGGGGUGGGCAGGACCCCAAAACCCUGGGUACGUGGGUGCAGGGUGGGCAGUGGGCAGGACCCCAAAACCCUGGCUGCAUGGGUGCCAGACCCCUGGGUGUGUGGGUGCCAGAUGGGGGGUAAGCAGGACCCCAAAACCCUGGGUACAUGGGUACCAGGUGGGCAGUGGGCAGGACCCCAAAACCCUGGGUGCAUGGGUGCCGGGUGGGCAGUGGGCAGCACCCCAAAACCCUGGGUAUGUGGGUGCUAGACCCCUGGGUGCGUGGAUGUCAGAUGGGAGAUUGGCAGGACCCCAGACCCCUGGGUGCAUGGGUGCCAGAUGGGGCAUGAGCAGGACCCCAAAACCCUGGGUGCGUGGGUGCUAGACCCCUGGGUGUGUGGAUGUCAGAUGGGAGAUUGGCAGGACCCCAGACCCCUGGGUGCAUGGGUGCCAGAUGGGGGGUGAGCAGGACCCCAGACCCCUGGGUGCAUGGGUGCCAGACCCCUGGGUGCGUGGGUGCCAGAUGGGGGGUGAGCGGGACCCCAGACCCCUGGGUGCAUGGGUGCCAGGUGGGUGGUGAGCAGGACCCCAGACCCCUGGGUGCAUGGGUGCCGGAUGGGGCAUGAGCAGGACCCCAAAACCCUGGGUGCGUGGGUGCCAGAGCUGGAGUGGGCAGGACCCCAGACCCCUGGGUGCGUGGGUGCCAGGUGGGGGGAGCGCAGGCCCCCAGCCGCUGGGGCGCAGCUCCAUCCCUCCACCCCGGGGAGCCGGGGCAGGGAGGUCUCCUUGCCACCCAGUCGCCGCAAGCCCCACCGAGUGGGUGGGCACCCACUCGGCGCAGUGCCGAGCCCCAACCUCACACCCGGCACCCCCGGCUGGGCCGAGGGGCCACGGCGGUGGGACGCUCACCCCUCUCUCGCCUCUCCCCC